UACGAAGGGGGCUAGCGUUGUUCGGAAUUACUGGGCGUAAAGCGCGCGCAGGCGGUUUUUCAAGUCCGUGGUGAAAGCCCGGAGCUCAACUCCGGAACUGCCAUUGAAACUGUAAAACUUGAGGAUGAGAGAGGUGAGUGGAAUUCCCAGUGUAGAGGUGAAAUUCGUAGAUAUUGGGAAGAACACCGGUGGCGAAGGCGGCUCACUGGCUCAUUACUGACGCUCAGGCGCGACAGCGUGGGGAUCAAACAGG
rnacentral:rRNA from 1 species